rnacentral:lncRNA from 1 species
UUAAAUUGAUAUUCACAAUGUUUUUUUAAAAAAAUUAAAAUACAAAAUAAAUAAAAAAAUAGAUAAAUAAAUUACCAAAAGCACAAAAACUAAAAUUAAACCAAGCAAUUAAAAGGAAAGGAUAAAAACACUUGGUCUAUAAAUACUAAAAUCUUAGCUAAUAGGGGAUCCAUAAUUAAGAAUACAUACAGAAAAUAAAUAAAUAAAAAAUAUAGACUUUCUCUUCUACACACCAAAAACAACCCUGGACUAUUCUUCCUAACCUAGUUGCCACACUCUCACAAAAUAAGGAGACAUGGCCAUUCUCUCUCUUUGACGUUCACCACCCACACAAAAAACACUAGCUAAUACACUGUGAAAACCUCCAUCACACUGUUGAGCCUUCCUCUUGUCGGCCACCAACACCGACAACAUUGUCAACCACCACCCACAACUUUCUCCCUCUCUCCUUGCCAACCUCUCUCUUCUUGACGAAUCUCCUCUCUCGGCCAAUGCCAUAAAUUCGACUAGCCAAGACUCACCAACCCAAAGUCCUCCUCAUCACCGGCCAAACACCAACCUCAUCACAUCAUAUUUCCUAUACCGCUGCCAGACGCCAUGGAAGUUAACCAUGACAACAACAAACAUCAACAAUAGAAAAAAAAAAGGAAACCUAGUGGAAGAAGAAAGAAACAAUGAGGACCAAAACUUUAGGGGCUCCGAUCUCCUCCCUCGAGUAAUAGUGGGAGACAUCGUCUGUACCAGAAGGAGGACCAAGAAGAGUAUUGAGCGGAGUGACUAAAGCAUAUCCAUCCCUUGUCAGCGCAUGCAACAAUGCGCCACCGGCAAUUGUGCCCUCCUAGCACAUGUCAGACACACUGCCACAAUUCAUCCCACUUCCAACAACUCCUUUACUUGACUUAAUUGUUCUCAAAGGUUGAUUUUAAACCUUAAACAUGGUUUUCGAAUAAUAUUUUUGCAUGUUGAUUGACUUUGAUGAGUAUUAUAAGGAAUUUUAUGGGAUUCAGAAAAAACGUUUAAUGUGUAUUGAGUUUAAUUCAUGUUAUUUUGAAUGAUUGUGAAAUGUUUGAGGUAUGGAGGUUGUUUUUGGAUUUUUGUAAGUGUUGUUCUUGAUUGUUGUGUUAUAAGGCAAUGUUAUAGAUUUUUUUGUGUAAAUUUACUACUUGCACGGUCAUGGUGAUUUGGAUUUGUUGUUGUUAUUAUCUUUUAUUUUGUGGGUUUUUAUUUUUGAUGAAUGAAUAUUUGUUUAUGGUUCGUUAUUGUAAGUUGAC